UACGAAGGGGGCUAGCGUUGCUCGGAAUCACUGGGCGUAAAGCGCACGUAGGCGGAUUGCUAAGUCAGGGGUGAAAUCCUGGAGCUCAACACCAGAACUGCCUUUGAUACUGGCGACCUUGAGUCCGGGAGAGGUGAGUGGAACUGCGAGUGUAGAGGUGAAAUUCGUAGAUAUUCGCAAGAACACCAGUGGCGAAGGCGGCUCACUGGCCCGGUACUGACGCUGAGGUGCGAAAGCGUGGGGAGCAAACAGG
rnacentral:rRNA from 1 species